UACUUAUUGAGAAACCAAUGCCUUUGCCCUCAGUCUGUUUUGCAUGACACUGUUUUGAAUGUUUUGAAAGACACUGAUCCUACUUCUUUCUCCCUAGGUCAUCAUGAUUUCAGGCAUAACUGAAGCAUGGAAAUAGAUGAACACAUCACACAGCAUCAUUGCAUUACUUUAGAUUCUUUGCCUGAACUGUCCAAAAGGAGAAAUCCAAAUGGAAGAUUUCAUCCAAGUGGCCAUAAGAGUGAAGUUGUUUCUGUCAUUCAUUGCUUUUCUGAAGCUACUGGUUAUUUCAAAUAAUAUCCUAGAAGAAAGAAUAUAUAACAUACGUUGUGAAUUUUCUGCAACUAUUGCUACAUGUAACAACAAUGGUGAAUCUACAUUCUACCAUAGAAAUACCAAGAUUUUAAAAGGAAGCCUAAGAAACCAAGAAGGAUCACCAGAGGAACUAAAGAAUAUAAAUAUGGAAGCAAUAAUUUGUCUAUCAUGAGUGAAUAAGGGAAUUACUGAAAUGAAAAGUUGGGGCAGAAUUUUAAAGGUUACUCUUUUUCCUAUGGGUUCCUGAUUCUGCAGAGGAAAGGAAGAACAUACUGCAUCAAUGUGAAUGUUCUGGAAUGUGCUCAAGCUCCACAACUAAUAUUUCAUGUUGAUUGUACUUGGCAAUAGCAAAAUA